CGACUGUUUGGCAAUAUCG
rnacentral:snRNA from 1 species